UUAUAAUACAACCUGAUAAGUGUUACAGCACUUACCAGAUUGUAUUGUAAUU
ensembl:miRNA ocu-mir-374a ocu-mir-374a